GACUUGCAAUUAUAACAUGGAAUCUCUACACACCCCAUGAGCUCGAUCCAAUCCACGCACACGAGUUGCCUGAGUAGCGACAGGUAUACCGAUGUGCAAUACGUAUCCGGCCAUAGGCACGGAACGAACAGGAGCUGUGGUGCAGACAUACAAGGGCCAUGGGGCGGUACGCAAAGGAUACGGAUGAGCGAGUAUGCAGGCCCAAUACUCAAUAGCUCGAUCCGAUCCAAGCACAUGAGUUGACUGCGGCGUCAGGUUAACCGAUGUGCAAUACGUAUCCGGCCAUAGGCACGGAACGAACAGGAACUGUGGUGCAGACAUACAAGGGCCAUGGGGCGGUACGCAAAGGAUACGGAUGAGCGAGUAUGCAGGCCCAAUACUCAAUAGCUCGAUCCGAUCCAAGCACAUGAGUUGACUGCGGCGCCAGGUUAACCGAUGUGCUAAGAGAGUUGUUCCUGGGCCUUCAAAGUGACUUCAAAACUAUCUUAGCGAAUGGUGGCCAUGGGCGUAGACAUGAGCCACAAGUCACAAGGCCUGGGACUAUUGGGUAAUAAAGACAACUUAGUCAGAAAGUUAGUCUUUGGACGUA